rnacentral:rRNA from 1 species
UACGUAGGUGGCAAGCGUUGUCCGGAAUUAUUGGGCGUAAAGCGCGCGCAGGCGGUUUCUUAAGUCUGAUGUGAAAGCCCACGGCUCAACCGUGGAGGGUCAUUGGAAACUGGGGAACUUGAGUGCAGAAGAGAAGAGCGGAAUUCCACGUGUAGCGGCGAAAUGCGUAGAGAUGUGGAGGAACACCAGUGGCGAAGGCGGCUCUUUGGUCUGUAACUGACGCUGAGGCGCGAAAGCGUGGGGAGCAAACAGG